rnacentral:lncRNA from 1 species
CUCUCCAAAAUUCCACCAAGAUCUUCAACCAAAUUCAAACCUCUCAAGUUCUAAUUCCGAAUUCAAGACUCAAUCUCAAGCAUCAAUUCUCCAUUCCAAUCCUCAUCAAGGAUUCUCCAAAGUUGAGGUAUGUGGGUUGAUUGUGGAAACCUUCCUUUCCACAAGUCCAACCAUUUAUCCUCUAUUUUACUUCAAGUUUAUGGGUCCUUAUGAUCAUUUAUGAACUCUUGAAUUAUGGAAUUAUUACUACACAUCCUAUUAUGGUCUAUUUUUGUAUAUUAUCAUGAAAUGGAAUGAUUAUAUGAUGUUUAUGGUUUUCAUGCCUCAAUGAUCAAAUUAUGAAGGUUGUUAUAUAUGUAUAUAUAUAUGUAUGUUGUUGGUGGGCUGAUUUAUACGUAUUUCGGAAUUGGUUGGACUUAGUACUCUUGAAACACAUGAUUUUAUUUACAUGAACAAGUAGCCCACCAUAUGUUUGAUAAAAUGCCAUUUAUAGAAUUCUUAUGAAAUGGAAGGUCCAAUGUACGUCCUAUGAAUCGAAUGGUUAUAUAAUUAUUGAAAUGAUGAUGAAAUGGACACAUGUAUAUGAUUUUCUCUAUAUACGUGUUGUGAGUCGACCAAGCCUAGUACGGGGGGUAGUAGGCCCGUAUAACCGUAUCGAGGGGUUGGUACCUUGGUUGCCGAGUACGGGGGGUAGUAGGCCCGUAUAACCGUAUCGAGGGGUUGGUACCUUGGUUGCCGAGUACGGGGGGUAGUAGGCCCGUAUAACCGUAUCGAGGGGUUGGUACCUUGGUUGCCGAGUACGGGGGGUAGUAGGCCCGUAUAACCGUAUCGAGGGGUUGGUACCUUGGUUGCCGAGUACGGGGGGUAGUAGGCCCGUAUAACCAUAUCGAGGGGUUUGUACCUUGGUCCCUAGCUCGGGGGGUGGUAGGCCCGGGUAACCACAUUGAGGGGUUUGUACCUCUUUCGCCUCUCCAAGGGGGUGGUAGGCCUUGAAAAUACUAUAUUGAUGGUCACUCACCACACUUGUGCUACGUCCCACUAAAUAUGAUUUUUAUGUAAGCGUCAUUAUAUAUAUAUCGUUUCAUUAAUGUGCUAUCUAACGGGUAUUAUUAUGCAUUUUCCUAUGGUGUCCAUCUAUUGUAGCAUUGCAUUGCAUCCCAUAUACUUAGUACAUUCAAAUGUACUAACGCAUACUCUAUGCCUACAUGAUGUCACCAUGUAGGGACCGGAGCACCGCUUGACCCUCCUCCUCCGCGUGGCUAAUACGAUUUUCUAUCAAGGUUAUUGGUGAGUCCUCCAUUCCGGGGACGUUGCUCAUGAUCUUUUGCUAUGUAUAAGACUUUUUCUUUUUAGUUAUGUUUUGUCUAUGAGGGUGAGCCCGGUAGUUUGUCUUGGCCCCCGCUAAGUACUCAUGUUUAGAGGUGGUGUUGGACAAGUUGUGUAUUAUGCUUGAGCUUGACUCAUCUAUGGUAUUUUUGUAUCAUUCUUA